AUUCUCAUUGGUAGUCUCAGACGCCGGUCAAUGGGAGUUGGAGUAAGCAAGUGACUGUAAGGGAGCGGCCGUGGGCUGUGGCUUCAAGCCCCGCCCCUCGGCAGUUGGUUGGUGUGUGUGGGCGGGAUCUUAUCUGUAAGUGGCUGUCCUAGACGCCCGUCGGCAAGUGCGACUGGCCAGCGAAAUCUCUGGGCUGCCGGUGGUGACCUCGGAGUUUCGUGCCUCGGGUUAGAGUUCACGCGCGUCAACGUCCUCUGGGAACAGCCGCGACUGGAGGCAUGGUGUCUGGGGGCUGGAGAGAUGGCUCAGAGGUUAAGAGCAUGGACUGCUCUUCCAGAGGUCCUGAGUUCAAUUCCCAGCAACCACGUGGUGGCUCACAACCAUCUGUAAAGAGAUCUGAUACCCUCUUCUGGUAUGUCUGAAGACAGCUACAGUGUACUUGUAUAUGAUAAAUAAAUAAAUCUUUUAAAAAAAAUAAAA